GCUGGUGUGGCUCAACUGGCAGAGCAGCUGACUUGUAAUCAGCAGGUUGAUGGUUCGAUUCCAUUCACCAGCUCCA
rnacentral:tRNA from 1 species